rnacentral:rRNA from 1 species
UACGUAGGAGGCAAGCGUUGUCCGGAAUUACUGGGCGUAAAGCGCGUGUAGGUGGUGGGACAAGUCUGCUGUGAAAGCGCCUGGCUUAACCGGGCGAGGUCGGCGGAAACUGUCCGACUCGAGGACGGUAGAGGGGGGUGGAAUUCCCGGUGUAGUGGUGAAAUGCGUAGAGAUCGGGAGGAACACCUGUGGCGAAGGCGGCCCCCUGGGCCCUACCUGACGCUGAGGAGCGAAAGCGUGGGGAGCGAACAGG